AACGAACGCUGGCGGCGUGUUUAAGACAUGCAAGUCGCACGGGACUGGUUGAGUAGUAAUACGAGACCAGUCUAGUGGCGCACGGGUGAGUAACAUGUGAAUUACAUGCCCUAUAGUGGGGAAUAGCCCAGGGAAACUUGGAUUAAUACCCCAUAGUCUCGCAAGAGUAAAGGUGGCCGCAAGGCUGUCGCUAUAGGAUUGGUUCGCACCCUAUCAGCUUGUUGGUGAGGUAAUGGCUCACCAAGGCUACGACGGGUACCUGGUCUGAGAGGACGAUCAGGCACACUGGAACUGAGACACGGUCCAGACACCUACGGGUGGCUG
rnacentral:rRNA from 1 species